rnacentral:piRNA from 1 species
UACAGAAGGGUGGCUAAAAAUUGUC